CACGACUCUCGGCAAUGGAUAUCUCGGCUCUCGCAUCGAUGAAGAGCGCAGCGAAAUGCGAUACGUGGUGCGAAUUGCAGAAUCCCGCGAACCAUCGAGUCUUUGAACGCAAGUUGCGCCCGAGGCCAACCGGCCAAGGGCACGUCCGCCGGGGCGUCAAGC
rnacentral:rRNA from 1 species